GUUACUGACGGUCAGCCGGUUGUAGCGCAACGCGGUUCCAAGUUUUAACAUUAUACCGCCACCUCUCUUAUUUUACUUUCUCUAUGGUAUCGAACACAAUGCGUUCCUUUUGGAGUCUGUGCCACAGACUACAUACUAUUUUGUGCAUUUUGGUUUAUCCGUAUUAAGCAAUUUUAGUAGGUUCAAAAUUCAAGUGCAGUAUGGAAUCAGGUAGGUAAAUAGCAUAGUGAGUGGUUCUAGAUCUAGUGCAAGUGUUUUUGUUCUGAGUUGCUAUUUAGUGCUAUAACUUUUGAAAAUCACGUCCAAACGACCCGACAUUUAUCAUUGAAAUUAGCGAUUGCCCAGUGCCGUAUAGUUUUGAAACUUGUUUUAAGAACUAACAAUAGAUUAUUCGACACACAAAAUCUUGGCUAUGAUCCGGUUUUUGCAAAAUUUUGGGACCUAUUUCAAACCUCAUGGUUGAUUGCGGUUAUGUUCCAUACGUCUUCGUCUUGUUUUGGGCGGCUUUGUACGGAAUGUUGCACGUUAAUUAGUCGGUUAAUAAGUGGUUAUACGCAAUGUACUACAUAACUCGUAAUUUUUGCAGCAAAACUCCAUUUUAAACUGCAAGCAGAUUUUUUCAAAAUAUUCUUAAACAAUUGUCUAAUGUGUAGACAGCAGCAUGAGCAACAGCAUCGAGAUAAAGAGAGACUGGAGCGGGAGAGACAGGAACUUGGUAAAUUGGACCGAAAGAGAGAAUAAAAGGAGAUGCAGGAACUUUCGUUAACUUUGCAAUUACUUCAAAAUUACAUUAUAAAAGAAAUAAUAAUUAUGCGUGAUGAGAUUUCCACCAAGAUCGCUGAAAAGUUUUGCUGAUCAUUUUUCCGUGACUGACGAACAACUUUCGAAAUUGUCUACCUGCUAUAUCGUCAACCUAUGAUUAAUGUAUUACGCCUGUAUUUCAGAUAUUGCGGCACCGUUGCGUCGAAGACGAAAGGAGAGCCUUUACCAGCUCAUAGUAGCCGAUUAUAUUAGGCAAAACGACUGAGAAAUUGACAAAAAUGCACUCAACAAUGAUGCCAAAAAGUAUGAGUUUUUAAUCUGAAAAAUCGCUUAGGGCUGCACAACAAAAGCGUGAGCAGCAACAGCAAUGGAACUCUAUAGGUAAUAGGCAAAUCCAGUCAACACCUUCGUUCUUGACCGACGCAAACUGACCUGCAUCAAAGAAAGAGGCAUGUGGGGGCGGUGAGGGCUAAUGACGCAAACCACAGAUAUUGCGGUACCGUUGCGUCGAAGACGAAAGGAGAGCCUUUACCAGCUCAUAGUAGCCGAUUAUAUUAGGCAAAACGACUGAGCAAUUGACAAAAAUGCACUCAACAAUGAUGCCAAAAAGUAUGAGUUUUUAAUCAGAAAAAUCGCUUAGGGCUGCACAACAAAAGCGUGAGCAGCAACAGCAAUGGAACUCUAUAGGUAAUAGGCAAAUCUAGUCAACAUCUUCGUCCCUGACUGACGCAAACUGACCUGCAUCAAAGAGACAGGCAUGUGGGGGCGGUGAGGGCUAAUGACGCAAACCACAGAUAUUGCAACACCGUUGCGUCGAAGACGAAAGGAGAGCCUUUACCAUCUCAUAGUAGCCUAUUAUUCCAAGGCAAAACGACUGAGAAAUUGACAAACAUGUACUCAUCUUACUUGUUAGUUACUGUUACUUAUUUUAGAUAAAAUAGAAGUUUUGUUGAAAAA